GGCUGCGAACCUUUUCUUCCGAGAAGAGGGGAGCCAUCAGUGAGAUACCACUCUUGGUAAGCUAGAAAGCUCAGUCUUAACCGUUAUCCGGUAAGCCGACAGUUUCAGGCGGGCAGUUUGACUGGGGCAGUCACCUCCCAAAAGGUAAUGGAGGUGCACAAAGGUUCCCUCAGGUUGGACGGAAAUCAACCAUAGAGCGUAAAAGCAUAAGGGAGCUUGACUGCGAGACUGACACGUCAAGCAGAGACGAAAGUCGGUUUUAGUGAUCCGACGGUGCUGCGUGGAAAGGCCGUCGCUCAACGGAUAAAAGUUACUCUAGGGAUAAC
rnacentral:rRNA from 1 species